rnacentral:rRNA from 1 species
GACGAACCGUGCGAACGUUGUUCGGAUUCACUGGGCUUAAAGGGCGCGUAGGCGGGCUAGCAAGUCAGGGGUGAAAUCCUCCGGCUCAACCGGAGAACUGCCUUUGAUACUGCUAGUCUUGAGGAAGGUAGGGGCAUGUGGAACUUCCGGUGGAGCGGUGAAAUGCGUAGAUAUCGGAAGGAACGCCGGUGGCGAAAGCGACGUGCUGGACCUUUACUGACGCUGAGGCGCGAAAGCUAGGGGAGCAAACGGG